UGCUUGCUUGUGAUUCUACUCAUUUACUUAAUGAAGAAAAAGAAGAGCAAACGUUUUCACUAAGGACUUGAUUCAUGUGUAUAGUGAUUGCUAGAAAUGCCAGCAACCUCCACAUGUCUGUUGGUAAAGAGGCAGAAUUCAAGUGUGAGGAUUGGGAAGAGGGCAGUAGGCAGUCAGGACUUCAAGUAGCAUCUUGUAGUUAUUAUGUCACCAGUGAAUCCCUCCAGAAGCAACAGAUAAGUAGGACAUGAAUUUUGACCUCAAGUCCUGAGGCAAAGUUUUCUGCUCAAGAACCAAGACGUUCUUUCUGAAUCUUCUAUGUCCAAUGAAAUUAAAUGUGAGACAGAAAGCAGAAGGAAAUCAAGUGUUCAUCCCUAGAUAUUAAGUGUGGGAGAAAGAUGCUGUUCAACACUUAGGACUGAUCGGAAAAUUCACUUUGGAGAAGUUGAGCUUCUUUUAUGAGAGUGUGAGCUACACCCACUUCUCUGUCUGCUUUUGAAGAUUUGAUAUAUGAUCCAUUAGGAGAUUUACAUCUUGCUGAAGGAAUAAAACCUAAAGUUGCCAGAUCUCAGUGUGCUCACCAUCAGCAGUUCCACAGAAAAGGGGCCAAUAAAGCACCCUUCCGACAGAAAGGACCAAGACCCUGGAAUAAAAGAGAACAGACAUCUGUUUCACUUUCUCAAAUCCUUAUUCGGGCUAUCGUUGCCCCUUCAGAAGUUUCUGAAGUCCUAAGACAUAGCAGGACUGUCUUCUGUAGACAGCCCUCUCACAGGGGAAGAGGAAGAAAGCCACCAUCUGGAAUGGAUUAGGAGCCCACUCCUCAGAAAGUCUUUUUAGUCCCUGGAAGACAUCUUCGCCAAGCGAUAGAUUACUGCUACAUUUUGAAUAAAUGAAUUUGCUGUCUCCACUAAGAAAGGAGCCAUCUGAAGAUAUCAAGAUAAGUGUAGUCUGUAGAAGAUUGGAGAAAUAAUACUGAUUUAUGGUCUUGUUUAGAAAUGUACAUUUUAAGCAGUUUGUGUCCAAACUGCCUUCUGAUAAUUAAGGCACCUCAAAUCAACAUCAGUGAUAUGAAAUUUUGGAGAGACUAUAACUAAAACAAAGCGGUCGGCUAGAAAGGGAGGAUGCAUCAUGCCAAGAAUUAUCUAAGUGAAACCAAAUGCAACAGCCUGAAAUGCUUGGACUCAGUUGUUUCCAAAACCUGUUCUUCCUUUGUGGAAUGAAACCAGCCCAAACUGCUGUCUGGAAUGCAGUAAUCAUUGUGAGGGUGCUCUGCUUUUAACAACGUGUUAGGAGAAAGUGUUUCUAUGCCAGCUCCUGGAAGGUUAUGUGAUAUAUUAAAUUUUACAAGCCUAGUCCCUUUUUUGGUAGGGAAAAACCGAUAAAGGAAAACUGGGUUGCCAGGGACUUGCCCAGUGUGCAUCUGGAAUGUCUCCGCAAGCAAAACCUGGCUUUGGACUUACUCUGAUAGCCUUAGGGCUUUUGGUGAUUCCACUGUCCAGUCCUCUCCCCUGCUAGUUGCAAUGUGAAAAUGCAGGCUGAGAAAAAGUUGACAAGAGCCUUGCAUUCCAUAUUCUAGAGAGGCCUUCCUAAUAGAAGUGGAGAUUUGAGGUCAGGAACAAUAAGAAAUAGUUUUAUGGAAAUGGAAAAUUUAGAGAAAAACAAAAAUACAAAAAAGUAGAAUUUUUAUAAUGCCUCACUUUUCUUGUUUUGGAGUAUAAGGAUUAAUAAGUGAAACUUUCCCUUUCCCCCUCACUGACCCCCAAAGGAACCGGAGCUAACAGUCGAGCAACCAUCACACCAGACUGCUCCUUGGGCUUCUCUGUCCAACUGCAUGCAUCUGCACACAAAUAAUUUUAUGGCAUUUUUACCAUAUUGGACCACAAUGUAUGUAUUGUUUGACAGCAUCUCUUUUCACCUGUUCUUUGACAUGGAUAUUUUUUCAAAUCAGUUCACAUAA